rnacentral:rRNA from 1 species
UGGGGAAUAUUGGACAAUGGGCGAAAGCCUGAUCCAGCCAUGCCGCGUGUGUGAAGAAGGUCUUCGGAUUGUAAAGCACUUUAAGUUGGGAGGAAGGGCAGUAAAUUAAUACUUUGCUGUUUUGACGUUACCGACAGAAUAAGCACCGGCUAACUCUGUGCCAGCAGCCGCGGUAAUACAGAGGGUGCAAGCGUUAAUCGGAAUUACUGGGCGUAAAGCGCGCGUAGGUGGUUCGUUAAGUUGGAUGUGAAAUCCCCGGGCUCAACCUGGGAACUGCAUUCAAAACUGACGAGCUAGAGUAUGGUAGAGGGUGGUGGAAUUUCCUGUGUAGCGGUGAAAUGCGUAGAUAUAGGAAGGAACACCAGUGGCGAAGGCGACCACCUGGACUGAUACUGACACUGAGGUGCGAAAGCGUGGGGAGCAAAACAGGAUUAGAUACCCUGGUAGUCCACGCCGUAAACGAUGUCAACUAGCCGUUGGAGCCUUGAGCUCUUAGUGGCGCAGCUAACGCAUUAAGUUGACCGCCUGGGGAGUACGGCCGCAAGGUUAAAAGC